GGGGAUUUAGCUCAGUGGUAGAGCAUUUACCUAGCAAGUGCAAGGCCCUGGGUUCGGUCCCCAGCUCCA
rnacentral:tRNA from 1 species